GAAACCUUGGCUCUGUGGUCCUGGGUGGUGGGGAAUGGAGUGGAGGUCCUGGAAAAGGAGUUGACAGAGCGAACUGAAUCUCUUAUGCACAGAAAGGAAGAAGAGCAUUGCAGAACAGUUAGGAGAAGACCAACAUAUCCAGGCUGUUAAUUUUUGACGGGAAUACCACAAAUAUGAUGCCGUGUUCUUCUUAGUACGUCAUAUCAGGAGGCACAUGCUGACACUUCAUCCUAUAUCCAGUGAUGUUGACUUUUACAACUUAGAGAGAAGACUGGGAAAUAACAGCCCCUAGUAGUUUCACAGUGGAGAACACUCUUUCCCUCACUCCUAUGUUGACAUAUAAAGUUCAUAAUGAUGGAGGUGAUUGCCUGCUGUGUUUCCUGGUCCUACCUCACCCAGGGUACUGAGUUCAUCUGGACGUCACAGUAUGAGUCUUUCUAGAAGACACAACUUGCUUUCCCUUUGGGACACCAACUCUUUUCCCACCUAAGGCCUUGUGCUUGCAGUGAAAUUGUCUUUAUUCUUUACUCCUGACCAGACAGCACGUUGCACUCCUUUGGUGACAGUGCUUGGCUCAGGGGAAAGCGUGUGACACCUUCAGAGCUGUUAACGUGCGAUGAGACUUUUUCUGAGAUUUCUGAAACAUUGCCACUCUUCUCUACUAGACUGGAGAUUGUUAGAAGGGAAGGCUGGAUUCCUCAACCAUCUUGCUAUCCUGAGGAAAAAGCCUGCCUGAGUUUCUUUCUUAAAGAAAUGGAGCUGGGAGAUGAGAGGCAGUGAAUUCAGAUUCUGGGAAUCUUCCGGGAGCUCCUAUUUCAAACCACGCCCUUAAUGAAACUUACUCUGGAGGUUUAAUUAUGUGAGCCAAAAAAAAAUCUCCUUUUUGCUCAAGCUAACUUAAACUGGGUUUUCUGUCACAUGUAACCACAAUUGUUUUUACUGAUUCAAUUUAAGAGAGACAUUGGUAAAUUAAAUAAGCCCAGAGAAGAAUUGCCACAGGGGUGAAUGUGACCGGAACUGUGUCAAAGGGGUAGAAACUGGAGAAAGUAUGGCUUGAAGAAAGAAGAGCUGGUGUGUAUGUGUUCCAGGAGAAGAAGAAUGUUAAAG
ensembl:lncRNA